CUACGGGGUGCUCCAGUCGAGAAUAGUCUACAAUGGACGAAAGUCUGAUAGUGCGACGCCGCGUGGAUGAAGAAGCAUUUCGGUGUGUAAAGUCCUUUUCUGUGUGAGCAAUGUUUUCCAGGUUAAUAGCUUGGAGAAAGCGAUAUUAACACAGGAAUAAGCUCCGGCUAACUCCGUGCCAGCAGCCGCGGUAACACGGGGGGAGCAAGCGUUGUCCGGAAUUACUAGGCGUAAAGGGUAAGUAGGCGGAAUUGUAAGUCAGAUGUUAACGGCACCGGCUCAACCGGUGUAUGGCAUUUGAUACUGUAAUUCUCGAGUAAGGUGGGGGAAGACGGAAUUCCUGGUGUAGCGGUGGAAUGCGCAGAUAUCAGGAGGAACACCAGAGGCGCAGGCGGUCUUCUAUACCAUUACUGACGCUCAAUUACGAAGGUGUGGGUAUCAAACAGGAUUAGAUACCCGGGUAGUC
rnacentral:rRNA from 1 species